rnacentral:rRNA from 1 species
UACGUAGGGGGCUAGCGUUGUCCGGAAUCAUUGGGCGUAAAGCGCGUGUAGGCGGUCCGGUAAGUCCGCUGUGAAAGUCGAGGGCUCAACCCUCGAAUGCCGGUGGAUACUGUCGGGCUAGAGUACGGAAGAGGCGAGUGGAAUUCCUGGUGUAGCGGUGAAAUGCGCAGAUAUCAGGAGGAACACCAAUUGCGAAGGCAGCUCGCUGGGACGUUACUGACGCUGAGACGCGAAAGCGUGGGGAGCGAACAGG